UAUAAGAAAAGCUGAACAGAGCGACACUACAACCACCUCCUCCACCUGCUGCCAGACCGUCUGCUGAAGCUCUGAAGGCUUGAAGGUGUGAUCACUGCAACCAUGCUGAAGGUAGCACUUGUGCUCGGAUGCCUCCUGAGCCUCGCUCUGGCUCAUCCUACGGAGACUGAACACCAGCGGUUUGCUCGCUCAGACUCCAAUGAGGCUACCGCCACUGGGGCUGCAGGAGCUUCAGAUGUAGCUUCAGCUGCAGCAGCAGCAGCAGCAGCGUUGUCGCCUCAGCAGCUUCUCCAGCUCCUUCUGAACCUCUUUCAGCGUUAAUAAAGUACCACUGCAGCGCUGCUACAACUCCUCCUGCAGCUACAACUCCUCCUGCAGCUACAACUACUAGCACAGAAAAUUAAAAUGUAAUCAGAGACAGCCACCAUCGAAUGACGUCCAUGUUUAACAUCAGAUAUGUUUUGUGUCAGUUUGUCGAGAAGACUUCUUCUGUCUCUUUUCAAACUUCAAAGAUGUCUGUAUGUGCUUCUCAAACUCGUCAUUCUACUUCAUUUAGACGUGUGGAUCACAACCACACAAUUCUCUGCUAAAUAAAGUGCAUGAAAACGGAGCUCUGAGUCUGGGAACAUGAGUAGGAAGAGAGCGAUGUGUUUGGUUGUGAUUUUUGUUUUUUCCAUUUGCUUCUAUGUUUGUGUUGCGGUGCAUUGAGCUCUCAGGGCCACCGUAGAGAUGCCUCUG